ensembl:lncRNA
GGGAAACAUUCAAUGUGCCAGUGGAUGAGCGGACACAUGAGACAUCGUGGCUUCAGUUCAUGUCAGGAGAAAGUUGACAAAGGCAGUGGAAUAGUCAUCACCUCUUAAUCAGGGAACAGGAGGGGACUUAGCUGUAAAUACAAAUAGCAGGUUUGCUCAGACUGACAUGUGAGCCCGGGAGAGCAGGAGGAGGAAGAGGGAGUCUUUGUCAGUCUUUCCAAGACGAGCUCUUGGGCUCCUCUGGCUGGCUUGACUCUGGCUCCGCUCUGACAAGACUCCCAGCUGCAGCGUAGCCAAGAUGUCAGCUUGAAGGCCAAUCAACCCAACCCCAGCCCGGAGAGAGACGAGGGCUCAGGUCCAACUCACACGUGGACUCUCCUUAGAGGUGUAAGAGUCGUGGCUGAACGACGACAUUAUCAACAUACAGCUGGCUGGGUAAACGCUGUGUCGGCAGGAUUGAACAGUGGCGCCUGGUAAGACAAGGGGCGGCGGACUAUGAAUAUAUGUAAACAACAGCUGGUGCAUGAUAUUCUAAGGAAGUCUUGAGGUUUUGCUCGCCUGAGGUAGAGUAUCUCGUGAUAAGUUGUGAACCACACUAUUUACCUAGAGAGUUUUCAUCUGUAUUUUUCGUAGCUGUCUACAUACCACCGUGGACCAAUGCUGGCACUAAGACCACACUCAAUGAGCUGUAUACGCCAUAAGCAAACAGGAAACGCUCAUCCAGAGGCGGCGCUCCUAGUGGCCGGGGACUUUAAUGCAGGGAAACUUAAAUCUGUUUUACCAAAUUUCUAUCAGCAUGUUAAAUUUGCAACCAGAGGGGAAAUAACUCUGGACCACCUAUACUCCACACACAGAGACACAUACAAAGUUCUCCCUCACCCUCCAUUUGGCAAAUCUGACCAUAAUUCCGUGUUCCUGAUUCCUGCAUACAAGCAAAAAUUAAAGCAGGAAGCACCAGUGACUAGAUCAAUAAAAAGUGGUCAGAUGAAGCAGAUGCUUAACUACAGGACUGUUUUGCUAGCACAUACUGGAAUAUGUUCUGGGAUUCUUCCAAUGGCAUUGAGGAGUACACCACAUCUGUCAUUGACUUCAUGAAUAAGUGCAUCGAUGACGUCAUCCCCACAGUGACCGUAUGUACAUACCCAAACCAGAAGCCAUGGAUUACAGGCAGCAUCCACACUGAGCUAAAGGCUAGAGCUGCCGCUUUCAAGGAGCGCUUUCAAGAACCGCUAUGCCCUCCGACGAACCAUCAAACAGGCAAAGCGUCAAUACCGGACUAAGAUUGAGUCGUACUACACCGGCUCUGACGCACGUCAGAUGUGGCGGGGCUUGCAAACCAUUACAGACUAGAAAGGGAAGCACAGCCGAGGGCUGCCCAGUGACACGAGCCUACCGGAAGAGCUAAACUACUUCUAUGCUCGCUUCGAGGCAAAUAACACUGAAACAUGGGUGAGAGCACCAACUGUACCGAAAAACUGUGUGAUCACUCUCUCCGCAGCAGAUGUGAGUAAGACCUUUAGACAGGUCAACAUUCACAAGGCCGCAGGGACAGACGGGUUACCAGGCCGUGUACUGCGAGCAUGCACUGACCAACUGGCAAGUGUCUUCACUGACAUUUUCAAACUCUCCCUGUCCGAGUCUGUAAUACCAACAUGUUUUUAAGCAGACCACCAUAGUGCCUGUGCCCAACAACACUAAGGUAACCUGCCUAAAUGACUACUGACCUGUAGCACUCACGUCUGUAGCCAUGAAGUGCUUUGAAAGGCUGGUCAUGGCUCAUAUCAACAUCCUCAUCCCAGAAACACUAGACCCACUCUAAUUUGCAUACCGCCCCAACAGAUCCACAAAUUAUGCAGUCUCUAUUGCACUCCACACUGACCUUUCCUACCUGGACAAAAGGAACACCUACAUGAGAUUGUUAUUCAUUGACUACAGCUCAGCGUUCAACACCAUAGUGCCCUCAAAGCUCAUCAAUAAGCUAAGGACCCUGGGACUAAACACCUCCCUCUGCAAAUGGAUCCUGGACUUCCUGACGGCCCACCCCCAAGUGGUAAGGGAAGGUAACAACACCUCCGCCACGCUGAUCCUCAACACAGGGGCCCCUCAGGGGUGCGUGCUCAGCCCCCUCCUGUACUCCCUGUUCACUCACGACUGCACGACCAGACACGACUCCAACACCAUCAUUAAAUUUGCCGAUGACACAACAGUUGUAGACCUGAUCACCGACAACAACAAGACAGCAUAUAGAGAGAGGGUCAUAGACGUGGUAGUGUGGUGCCAGGACAACAACCUCUCCCUCAAAGUGAUGAAGACAAAGGAGAUGAUUGUGGACUACAGGAAAAGGAGGACCGAGCACACCCCCAUUCUCAUCAACGGGGCUGUAGUGGAGCAGGUUGAGAGCUUCAAGUUCCUUGGUGUCCACAGCAUCAACAAACUAACAUGGUCCAAGCACAUCAUGACAGUCGUGAAGCAGGCAAGACAAAACCUAUUCCCCCUCAGGAGACUGAAAAGAUAUGGCAUCUGUCCUCAGAUCCUCAAAAAGUUCUACAGCUGCACCAUCGAGAGCAUCCUGACUGGUUGCAUCACUGCCUGGUAUGGCAAUUGCUCUGCCUCCGACCGCAAGGCACUACAGAGGGUAGUGCGAACGGCCUAGUACAUCACUGGGGCCAAGCUUCCUGCCAUCCAGGACCUCUAUACCAGGCGGUGUCAGAGGAAGGCCCAUAAAAUUGUCAAAAGUCUCCAGCCACCCUAGUCAUAGACUGUUCUCUCUGCUACCACACGGCAAGUGGUACCGGAGCGCCAAGUCUAGGUCCAAGAGGCUUCUAAACAGCUUCUACCCCCAAGCCAUAAUACUCCUGAACAGCUAGUCAAAUGUCUACCCAGACUAUUUGCAUUGCGCCCCCCUCUUUUACGCAGCUGCUACUCCCUGUUAUUAUUUAUGCAUAGUGGGUUGUGCCGUGAGGGAGAUCUUCGUGGGCUAUACUCGGCCUUGUCUCAGGAUGGUAAGUUGGUGUUUGGAGAUAUCCCGCAAGUGGUGUUGACAAAGUGGGUGGGGUUAUAUUCGGCCUGUUUGGCCCUGUCCUGUGAUAUCAUCGGACGGGGCCACAGUGUCUCCCGACCCCUCCUGCCUCAGCCUCCAGUAUGUAUUCUGCAAUAGUUCAUGUGUCGGGGGGCUAGGGUCAGUCUGUUAUAUCUGGAGUAUUUCUCCUGUCUUAUCCGGUGUCCUGUGUGAAUUUAAGUAUGCUCUCUCUAAUUCUUUCUCUCUUUCUAAUUCUCUCUUUUUCUCUUUUUUUCUUUCUGUCUUUCUUUCUGUCUUUCUGUCUUUCUGUCUUUCUGUCUUUCUGUCUUUCUUUCUUUCUUUCUUUCUUUCUUUCUUUCUUUCUUUCUUUCUUUCUUUC